UGGGGAAUAUUGCACAAUGGACGGAAGUUUGAUGCAGCGACGCCGCGUGGAGGGUGUAGGCCUUCGGGUUGUGAACUCCUUUUUCUCGCGAAAAAGGCACAGUUUUGGCUGUGUUGAUGGUAGUGGGGGAAGAAGCGCCGGCUAACUACGUGCCAGCAGCCGCGGUAAUACGUAGGGCGCGAGCGUUGUCCGGAUUUAUUGGGCGUAAAGAGCUCGUAGGUGGUUCGUCGCGUCUGUCGUGAAAGCCAGCAGCUUAACUGUUGGUCUGCGGUGGGUACGGGCGGGCUUGAGUGCGGUAGGGGUGACUGGAAUUCAUGGUGUAGCGGUGGAAUGCGCAGAUAUCAGGAGGAACACCGAUGGCGAAGGCAGGUCACUGGGCCGUUACUGACACUGAGGAGCGAAAGCGUGGGGAGCGAACAGG
rnacentral:rRNA from 1 species